CAGGUAAAGCAGCUACGGCUUAGAAAGGCUGAGGAACUUGCCUGAGGCUAUCCAGCUACUGAGAGAUAAACUGGGGUGUGAAUUCAGAGAGCUUGACUCCUGAGGCUCCACCUGUGCCUAUAAUUCCAGCAUGACACCUGCUUUGAGCUGACAUGUUAGAAGUCAGUCUACAUUGAAGCUGCCAUGCUGAAGAACUCAUGUGGGAGAACACACAGAAAUCGAGAUGCCUGAGGAGCCCCAGCUGUACCAGCCUCUAGCUCUCUGAGUCUUCUCAGCAAGAACUGUCAAACAUGAGAGUGAAGCAGCCUUCAGAUGACUCUGGCCCCAGUCUUCAAGUGCCCUAGCUGGUGCCAAGUGGAGCAGACAAGCUGCCACCCACCAAGCCCUUCCCAAAUUGCAGACUAGGAACAAAAUAAAUGUUAUUUUAAGCCACUAAA
rnacentral:lncRNA from 10 species